AGCGAACGCUGGCGGCAGGCUUAACACAUGUAAGUCGAGCGGGCACUUUCGGGUGUCAGCGGCGGACGGGUGAGUAACGCGUGGGAACGUGCCCUCUGGUUCGGAAUAACUCAGGGAAACUUGAGCUAAUACCGGAUACGCCCUUUUGGGGAAAGGCUUGCUGCCGGAGGAUCGGCCCGCGUCUGAUUAGCUAGUUGGUGAGGUAACGGCUCACCAAGGCGACGAUCAGUAGCUGGUCUGAGAGGAUGAUCAGCCACACUGGGACUGAGACACGGCCCAGACUCCUACGGGAGGCAGCAGUGGGGAAUAUUGGACAAUGGGCGCAAGCCUGAUCCAGCCAUGCCGCGUGAGUGAUGAAGGCCUUAGGGUUGUAAAGCUCUUUUAUCCGGGACGAUAAUGACGGUACCGGAGGAAUAAGCCCCGGCUAACUUCGUG
rnacentral:rRNA from 1 species